rnacentral:rRNA from 1 species
UCCCUNGUUGACCCUGCCAGUAGUUAUAUGCUUGUCUCAAAGAUUAAGCCAUGCAUGUCUCAGUGCAAGCCGUAUUAAGCGUACCGCGAAUGGCUCAAUAUAUCAGUUUUGGUUCCUUAGAUCUUACUCAGUUACUUGGAUAACUGUGGUAAUUCUA